GAUCAGGUGUGCAAGGCACAGAGCUAGAGACCAGAGGCCUUUCUUCUCCAACCUUCAGUCACCUCUUUGUAAAGUGAAGCCAGCAUCCUCCUCGGGGUUUACUGUGAAAAUUAAGUGAGCUGACGCGUGCUGUGUUUUGAUGUUGCUUGGCUCCUACAAACAUUGAGUGGGCCAGACACUGUUCUGAAAAAUACGCAGUCGACUCUUGAACAGCCCAGGCUUGAACUGCAUGCGGCCGCUAAUACUCGGACUUUCUUCUGCCUUUGCCACCCCUAAGACAGCAAGACCCACCCGUCCUGCUCCUUAGCCUACUCGAUGUGAUGAUGGUGAGUAUGAAGACCUUUACUUUAUGAUGAUCCACUUCCAUUUAAUGGAUAGUAAAUAUAUUUUCUCUUCCUGUGGUUUUCUUAAUACCAUUUUCUUUUCUCUAGCUUACUUUAUUGAAAGAAUACAGUAUCUAAUACAUAUGACAUACAAAAUAUGUGUUAACGGACUGUUUAUGUUAUUGAUAGGGAUUCUGGUCAACAGUAGGCUAUUAUUAGUUAAGAUAUUAGGGAGUCAGAAGUUAUACACAAAUUUCCAACUGUGAGGGGUGGAGGAGUCAUCAAGGAUCAACUGUAUUGGCACCCCUAAAUAUAGCUCACUACAGCAGCAACACCUAUGCAAGGAGACUAGAUGUAGGCUGCCAGUGAAAACCAACGUGUCAUUUCUGGGCAGCAAAUUUAAGAGCUAAUGUAUGAUUCACGAUGCUCUUUUCCCUCUGCUAUGACAACCCUUAAUGUUCCAAUGUUCCAUCAGCCUGAGUCCUUAAGUAAAGAUGACAUGGAGCAUAGCCAACCAAGGACAUUGUAUUAGUCAGAGUUCUCUAGAGGGACAGAACUAAUAGGAUAGAUGUAUAUAUAAAGGGGAGCUUAUUAAGGAGUAUUGACUCACAUGAUCACAACGUGAGGUCCCACAAUAGGCCAUCUGCAAGCUGAGGAGCAAGGAGAGACAGUCCAAGUCCCAAAGCUGAAGAACUUGGAGUCUGAUGUUCCAGGGCAGGAAGCAUCCAGCACGGGAGAAAGAUGUAGGCCAGAAGACUAAGCCAGUCUAGUCUUUCCAUGUUCUUCUGCCUGCUUUUCUUCUGGCCAUGCUGGCAGCUGAUUAGAUUGUACCCACCUAGAUUGAGAGUGGGUCUGCCUUUCCCAGUUCACUGACUCAAACGUUAAUCUCCUUUGGCAACACCCUCACAGACACAAUACUUUGCAGGAACAAUACUUUGCAUCCUUCAGUUAAGUUGACACUCAAUAUUAACCAUCACAGACAUGUACUAAGAUUGAGAAUUGUCCACAGAUUUGUGGGUGUUUGUUAACUGCAGCAUAAUUAGCCUGUCCUGAUUGAUGACAACCCAUAUCUAGGUAUCUACCAAAACAAGAAUAUUAGAUGUAUUCUCCACUCACCAUCGUAACAGUAUUAUUCCUCAGUGAAUGAAGCAUGGAGAGGAAAGAACAGUUGUGCCUAAACCUAACCCAUGGAAAAGACCAGGCUGGCAGGGUCAGAGUGGCAGAAACCUUGGAAGACUGUGACCAUGGCAGGGUAGAAUUUAUAACGCAAGAGGAAAGACCUUCAAAAACAUAUACCUUCACAUUAGGAAGUAAACUCAAUGAAAUUCAUUGAAAACCAUUUCUCCCCCCUCAGGGACUCUGGAAAGGACCCUGACUCUAGGGGUGAGAAGCUCAAAGAAGAAACUUUUGUUCCCAAGAGGGAACCUAGAUAAAGAAUUCAGGGUGGAUUUCUCCUGUUUUUUUUUUCUUUUUUCUUUCUUUCUUUCUUUUUUUUUUAUUUUUUUAUUUUUGAGAUGGAGUUUUGCUCUUGUUGCCCAGGCUAGAGUGCAAUGGCGUGAUCUCAGCUCACUGCAACCUCCACCUCCUGGGUUCAAGCAGUUCUCCUUCUUCAGCCUCCCAAGUAGCUAGGAUUACAGACGUCCUCCACCAUGCCCAGCUAAUUUUUUGGGGGGUGUGUAUUUUUAGUAGAGAUGGGGUUUCACCAUGUUGGCCAGGCUGGCCUCGAACUCCUGACCUCAGGUAAUCCACCCACCUCGGCCUCCCAAAGUGCUGGAAUUACAGGCAUGAGCCACUGAUCUCGGCCCAAGGUGGGUUUCUUCCAGCAGCUCCCCCAGAAGUUUAGCUUUGAAACAGAUGUGCAAAAAAAAGCGAGGGAAAGGCAGGAAGCAAACAGGAGGUUGUUGUGGUCCAGCCCUUUGAGGUGUGGCCUUUGUCCCCCCACCGCCCAUUGAAGUAAUAUGGUUUGGCUGUGACUCCACCCAAAUCUCAUCUCAAAUUGUGAUCAGAAUUGUAUCCCCAUGUGUCAGGAGAGGGACCUGGUGGGAGGUGAUUGGAUCAUGGGGGCAGUUUCCUCCAUGCUGUUCUCAUGAUAGUGAGUGAGUUCUCAUGAAAUUUGAUGGUUUCAUAAGGGGCUCUUCCUCCUUCACUCUCUCUUUCCUGCUGCUGUGUGAAGAAGGUGCCUGCUUCCCCUUUGCCUUCUGCCAUGAUUAUAAGUUUCCUGGGGCCUCCCCAGCCAUGCAGAACUGUGAGUCAAUUAAGCCUCUUUCCUUUAUAAAUUACCCAGUCUCAGGUAGUAUUUUUAUAGCAGUGUGAAAAUGGACUCAUACACAGAGAGUACCUAAAGGAGGGGCUGCCACCACCUCAUUCCUACCUGAUUCUUGUUCUAGAUCCUGAGCCCGUUGCCCUACCCUACUGGCUUGUUUCAUCCUACUUUCUGUCUCCUCCCACCCUGUAAUGAGCUAAAUGUUGGCCCCCCAAAAGAUAUGUCCACAUCCUGAUCCCUAGAACCCAUGAAUCUGACCUUACUAGGAAAAGAAGUCUUUCCAGAUAUAGUUAAAGACCUUGAAAUGAAGAAAUGAUUUUGGAUUAUCCUGGUGACCCCUAAAUCCAAUAGUAAAUAUCUUUAAAAGAGGCACACAGAAUGGAAGGCCAUGUGAAGACAGAGGCAGAUACUGGAGAGAUACAGCCACAGGCCCAUGAAUGCUGAUGGCUACCAGAAACCAGAGGAAGCAAGGAAGUAUUCUCCCCUAGAGUCUCUGAAGGGAGCGUGGCCCUGCCAGCAUCUUGAUUUUGGACUUUUGUCCUCCAGGACUGUAAGAAACAAAUUUCUGUUAAAUCACAAAGCUUGUGGUCAUUUGUCACUGCAACCAUAGGAAAUUAACGUGUACCCUAACUCUUUUCCCUGCCCAUCCUUCCUCCAUUACCUAUUCUCUACUUCCUGGGUGUGGCCCUCAGCCCCUGUUUGGGUUCUCAGCUCUGCAGGUAAGCCGCCUUCAGCUUCACUGGGUCUGUACCUUUCUUGUGGUUGAUAAGUCCUGCGGCUGCCUAGCCUGGUGCUCUUCUUUCCUUCCCCAUCUCUUCUUUGAUCUCCCCUUGGAGAGUCACAACUGACCAGGCCCCCUGUCCCACAAGGAAAACUAGAGGCCAGAAUGAACUGGAUCUAGCCAAAAGGCACACCAAAGUGGGCUCUUUUCAUCAAAUGUGCAGCAGAAAGGGUGUCCAUGCAACAGAUAUUUCACUCUCCCUGUGUGACUCAGAGAAGGCAGACAUACUCAACUCUUGUUUCCAACUUCUCUAUUUAGGAGCUAUUUGAAUGCAAAAAAUAGGUGAGAGCUUGUGUGACAGUUCUGGCAGUGGCUGUGGCAUCUGGAGUGUCUGCACCCAAAGAGUUGCCCUUCUCAGUCUAGAAAGACCAUUCUGCCAGACGCGGUGGCUCACGCCUGUAAUCCCAGCACUUUGGGAGGCCAAGGCGGGUGGAUCACCAGAGGUCAGGCAUUCAAGACCAGUCUGGCCAACAUCGCGAGAUCCCGUCUCUACUAAAAAUACAAAAAUUAGCGGGCAGGCAUGGUGAUGCACGCCUGUAGUCCCAGUUACUCAGGAGGCUGAGCCAUGUCACUUGAACCUGGGAAGCAGAGGUUGCAGUUGAGCCGAGAUCAUGCUAUUGCACUCCAUCCUGGGUGACACGCAAGACUCUGUCUCAAAAAUGAAUAAAAGAAAGCCAAUUCUAUUAUGAGCAGUUCAAGUAAGUGCAGAGAGAGGAAGGGGACAGUUGCCCACAUAGCCAAGUCAGUCCCAGGGAUAGUGAACAACAAGUUGCCUCCAGAACUUCAAGAUUAGGAGCCACUGGAUAAUGAGAGUCAGCACAGGGACAAAACAGGUGCCAAGAUGUUAAGGAUUCUUCUUUUGUCAUCCUGAGUCCAUGUGACUAAAUUUCAAGAGGGCAGGUUAGAAAGAGCAAAGUUGAUGGGGCAUUACCUGUGGUUUGAACUUCUACCUGUCAUAUUUCAGGCAAUCACCAUGAGGAACUUGACUUAGGAAAUUAAGGAAGACGUGUCCUUUUGUUGAUUUUCACAUGGGAAGACAAGGGUGUGUGUGUGUGUGUGUGUGUGUGUAUGGGUGUGUGGUGAGACACAAGGGUUGAAAACUAACUGGUUCCCAGUUUGUGGUGUUUCCUGCCAUCAGCAAUAGCCUUGGGGAUGACUCCCACUCCUCCCUUCUAGCCCCCAAGAAGACUACAAUUGUCUCUUGCUCCAAGUUAGUCUUCAGGAAUACAAAGCCCAGCAAGUGCAGGGGGGCUCAGUGUGAUGUGCACACAGUGUGGCACAGCCCAAGAGUCCGGCUUUGGAGGCAGCGAUCUCUCAGAACUAAGACCACCCUGAAUUAAGACCACCCUGUCAGCAUCCCCUUACUCUGACCAUGCAGCAUGGUCUUUGGGCUCCACAAAUAUCCUUGAAGCCAAGAGUCACAAUUUGGGUGGGAAUCGCAAGCCCAGCCAGCAGGCAAAGAUGGAGGCCAGAGGGCAGCUGAGCAUCCAUUGUCACUGGUGUCCACUCCCAGAGCUACUUGGAGGUGGGCACUAGUGAACAAAAGCCUUCAGAAGAGAGAAGGGGACAUCACUGCCCUGGUAGCCCCCAUCCUGUCUUUGGCAUGUGGGCCUCUGCACACUGUAAGCCUAGACCAGCCUCAACUAUAUCACACAUUGGCUUUUUUCCUCCCUGGACAAUGGUAGCCUGGAGUAUUGUAAUACCCAUGGAAUUUUUAUAGGGUACCUAAGGGAUAUUUAUCAGAUCUCUGAGUUCUUUCCAGAAGUCCAGGAAGUAGUUAACAGAGGAUAACUAAUAGGAAACAAAAACACAACACCACUACAACCUGAGAUUCAGAAAUGGAAAGACUUGGGUUUGAAUUCGGCUACCCUACUCACUAGCUGUGUGACUCUGGCAAGUUACUUCACCUCUCUGAGCCUGUGUCUGAAAAAUGCAGACAAACCCUAUUAACUGCUCCUGAUUUCUGUGAGUAGGGAUUUCUUUUUCACACCUCUCCAAUGGAAGCAGCCUUAGUCAUCUGGUUUUGGGGCAACAUCGGCCAGUCUGCAUUUUUCAGUUGGUUGAAGCGAUCUACCAGUUGGGGACGUUUGCUCUUUUGCCUUCACCCUUUAACCUGAGCCAGUGGGAGGCAGUGACCUGGCUGAGGACUGUGUCCUGCAGACUCAUACAUUACCUCAGAGGGAAGCUAAAAAACAGAAUGCUGCCAGAACUCUCUCUUUCUGCCUCUCUCUUCCUCAUCAUCAUUAUCAUCUCCUCAAGUCAGUUUUCUCUGCUUCUCUGUUCCUACAGCUGAACACCAGCCCCACUCAAAUCCUACAUUUAUUAAUAUAUGAGAUACCCGUUGAUAUGGUUUGGCUGUGUCCUCAUUCAGAUCUCAACUUGAAUUGUAUCUCCCAGAAUUCCCACAUGUUGUGGGAUGGACCUAGGAGGAGGUAAUUGAAUCAUAGGGGCUGGUCUUUCCUGUGCUAUUCUCAUGAUAGUGAAUAAGUCUCAUGAGAUCUAAUGGGUUUAUCAGGGGUUUCCACUUUUGCUUCUUCCUCAUUUUCUCUUGCUGCUGCCAUGUAAGAAGUCCUUUUCACCUCCCGCCAUGAUUCUGAGGCCUCCCCAGCCAUGUGGAACUGUAAGUCCAAUUAAACCUCUUUUUCUUCCCAGUCUUGGGUAUGUCUUUAUCAGCAGCAUGAAAACAGACUAAUACAGUAAAUCGGGAUCAGUAGAGUGGGGCAUUGCUGAAAAGAUACCCGAAAAUUUGGAAGUGACUUUGGAACUGGGUAACAGGCAGAGAUUGGAACAGUUUGAAGGGCUCAGAAGAAGACAGGAAAAUUUGGGUAAGUUUGGAACUCCCUAGAGAUUUGUUGAAUGGCUUUGCCCAAAAUGCUGAUAGUGAUAUGGACAAUAAAAUCCAGGCUGAGGUGGCCUCAGAUGGAGAUGAGAAACUCAUUGGGAAUUUAAGCAAAGUUGAUUCUUGCUAUGUCUUAGCAAAGAGACUGGUGGCAUUUUGUUACUGCCCUGAAGAUUUGUGGAACUUUGGACUUGAGAGAGAUGAUUUAGGGUAUCUGGUGGAAGAAAUUUCUAAGCAGCAAAGCAUUCAAGAUGUGACUUGGGUGCUGUUAAAGGCAUUCAGUUUUAUAAGGGAAGCAGAGCAUAAAACUUUAGAAAAUUUGCAGCCUGACUAUGCGAUAGAAAAGAAAACCCAUUUUCUGGGGAGAAAUUCAAGCUGGCUGCAGAAAUUUGCAUAAGUAGUGAGAAGCCCAAUGUUAAUCCCCAAGACCAUGGGGAAAAUGUCUCCAGGCCAUGUCAGAGACCUUCAUGGCAGCCCCUCCCAUCACAGGCCUGGAGGCCCAAGAAGAAAAAGUGGUUUUGUGGGCUGGGCCCAGGAUCCCCAUGCUUUGUGCAGCUUAAGGGCUUGGUAGCCUGCACCCCAACCUCUCCAGCCAUGGCUGAAAGGGACCAACAUAUAGCUCAGGCUGUGGCUUCAGAGGGUCGAAGCCCCAAGCCUUGGCAGCUUCCAUGUGGUGUUGAGCCUGCGGGUGCACAGAAGUCAAGAACUGAGGUUUGGGAACCUCCACGUAGAUUUCAGAAGAUGUAUGGAAAUGCCUGAAUGCCCAGGCAAAAGUUUUCUGCAGGAUGGCAGCCCUCAUGGAGAACCUCUGCUAUGGCAGUGCAGAAGGGAAAUGUGGGGUUGGAGUCCCCACACAGAGUCCCUAUUGGGGCACUGCCUAGUGGAGCUGUGAGAAUAGGGCCACUGUUCUCCAGCUCCCAGAAUGAUUGAUCCACCGACAGCUUGCACCAGGCACCUGGAAAAGCCACAGACACUCAAUGCCAGCCCAGAGAAAGCAGCUGCAAAGCCACAGGGGCAGAGCUGCCUAAGACUGUGGGAACCCACCUCUUGCAUUGGUGUGACUUGGAUGUGAGACCUGGAGUCAAAGGACAUCAUUUUAGAGCUUUAAAAUUUGACUGUCCGCUGGAUUUCGGACUUGCAUGGGCCCUGUAACCCCUUUGUUUUGGCCAAUUUCUCCCAUUUGGAAUGGCCGUAUUUACCCAAUACUUGUAUCCCCAUUGUAUUCAGGAAGUAACUAGCUUGUUUUUGAUUUCACAGGCUCAUAGGUGGAAGGGACUUGUCUUGUCCUAGAUGAGACUUUGGACUGUGGACUUUUGUGUUAAUGCUGAAAUGAGUUAAGGCUUUGAGGAACUGUUGGGAAGGCAUGAUUGGUUUUGAAAUGUGAGAACAUGAGAUUUGGAGGGGCCAGGGGCAGAAUGAUGUGGUUUGGCUAUGUCCCCAUUCAAAUCUCAACUUGUAUCUCCCAAAAUUCCCACGUAUUGUGUGAGGGACCUAAGAGGAGGUGAUUGAAUCAUGGGGCCGGUCUUUCCCAUGCUAUUCUCAUGAUAGUGAAUAAGUCUCACGAGAUCUGAUGGGUUUAUCAGGGGUUUCCACUUUUGCUUUUUCCUCAUUUUCUCUUGCUGCCACCAUGUAAGAAGUGCCUUUUGCCUCCCGCCAUGAUUCUGAGGCCUCCCCAACCAUGUGGAACUGUAAGUCCAAUUAAACCUCUUUCUCUUCCUA